AGUUAAAGAGCCGCGGUAAUUUGACCGUGCUAAGGUAGCAUAAUAAUUAGUUUUUUAAUUGGAAGCUUGAAUGAAAGAUUGAACAAGAAAAAUACUGUUUCUUCUAUAAAGUUUGAAUUUAACUUUUAAGUCAAAAGGCUUAAAUUUACUAGAGGGACGAUAAGACCCUAUAAAUCUUUAUAUACUUGUAUAAAGUUUUAUAAGUAAAUUGAAAUAUAAAGUUUAUAUAGUAUAUUUAAUUGGGGCGAUAUAGUUAUAAUUGUUAUUAACUAAUUAAUUUGGAGUUACAAUUAAUUUUGUAUUAAUAUAAAAGAUCCUUUCUAAGGAUUAUUAGAUUAAGUUACUUUAGGGAUAACAGCGUAAUUUCUUUUAAGAGUUCAUAUCGAAAGAGAAGAUUGCGACCUCGAUGUUUAAUUAAAAUUUCUUCAUAAUGUAGCAGUUAUGGGAGAAGGUCUGUUCGACCUUUAAAAUUUUA
rnacentral:rRNA from 1 species